UUAAGGUUGACAUGGUAAAUUACACACAGACAGCAGGGCAACCGCUUCCAUUUUACUUAAAAUGAAUAUCCUUAAAGGGAUAGUUCACUCAAAAAUGAAAAUUCUCACAUCAUUUAUUCACACUCAUGCCAUCUAUGAUGUGUAUGACUUUCUCUCUUCUGCUGAACACAAACAAAGAUUUCUAGAACAAUAUCACAGCUCUGUUGAUCCAUACAGUGCAAGUGAAUGAUGAUCAGACCUUGCUUUGAAGCUCCAAAAAGGAGAUAAAGUCCGCAUAAAAGUAAUCCAUACAACUCCAGUGGUUCAGAAAUGUUUUCUGAAGCGAUCCAGUUGGUUUUGGGUGAGAACAAACAAAAAUAUAACUCUGUGCACAAUAACACUGUGUGUACCAUGAGUGCUCCGACUAACCUGAGAAAUAUUUAUUCUCAGAAUAUUUAAUCAAUCAUUAAACGUGUCCCGUAUUUCUGUUGGCAGUUUAAAAGAACUAGCAAUGCCCAAUUUGCGAAUGCAUAAUUCUUUUCAGUGAAUUGGCCGAACGGGCUUACCAAACUGUCUGAAUCGAUUCGUGAUUCAGUACAGUUCGUUCAGAGCGCUCUCUCUCACUGAAUCAUUUGGAGCGGUUUCACACAGUAAAACAGUAUUGGGAUUUUUACGAAUACAGCGCUGGAUACAGUGUAAAUUUACCUAGAGUCAACUGAAACAAACGUCUGUCUUUCUGAGAGGUAACUUCAGCUAGUGCUGUGUCAUGUGAACAAGGGGCUGUUCGAACUGAACAUGUUUUUGCGUCCGCUCGCGCUGUUUUUCAAUUGUUCUCAAAAUGGAUGUAUUUUGACAACUGCGUUACAUUUCACUGUGUUUUUAGCAUCUCUCACGGAAGCACUGCAUUUUUAGACACUGUGUCAAGUUAAAAAAAAUUCUUCAACUGAUAAAAACGCGUCUCGUGACACCUGCGUUCUGCUCUUCUUUGUGGUGCGUUUUGCUUUUUUAGCGCGAAAACGCGUCUGUCUGAACGGUUACUGGAAGAAAUGCUUUAGCCAAUAGUUAGGCUACAUGAACGCUACUUAUACUCAAGAAAAUAAAUAAACGCUUAUCUCAAAGUCACCAGAAUUUAACCCUUUGGUGUUGUUUCUUUAAUGAAAAAAUAAACAGGCCUACCGAACUUGUUUUGCGCUCUCACUCACAGACACGCGAACGGACGAGUUAGUGGCCGUUCACACCGAACGUAUUUUUGCGCACAUCUGUUCUGUUUUCCCAUUGUUUAAACACUUGCUGCACCACGUCUCGCUUUUCUUCAGCGUCUUGCGCAAGACCGGCACUGUUUAAACACCAUGUCAAGUUAAAAAGAACUUCAGAUUUUCAAAAACGCAUGUAGAGCCACCUGUGCUCUCUUUCAUUAUUUGCGCUGCGUCUAGAUUGUUUUUAGCACAGUUGUCACAAAGAUUCAACAAUCAGAACAAUUCAGGCUGCAUAGAGGGGACUGUUGCAUUGUUUCAUAUUAUUCCAGAUGGUUCUGCACCAGGUGAAGUUUCAGCAAAUAAACGCAGAAGAAAGAAAGUCAUACACAUCGGGGAUGGCAUGAGGGCUACCAAUUCAUAGGCUACAAAUGGUAUGUGACUUACCUGAGGGAGUAUCCAUCCAAAUUCAUGGUUUGUUGUACCCAGAAGAACUGGAACUUUGAGAAAGUCUUUGCUCUUCAGUACCUCCUCUGCUGAAUCUUUAAGAAAU